CAGCCGCCGCGGUAAUACCGGCGGCCCGAGUGGCGGUCACUAUUAUUGGGCUUAAAGCGUCCGUAGCCGGGUUGGGAAGUCCUCCGGGAAAUCUGGCCGCUUAACGGUCAGAAUGCCGGAGGAUACUCCCAGCCUAGGGAGCGGGAGAGGCCGAGGGUAUUCCCGGAGUAGGGGGGAAAUCCUAUAAUCCCGGGAGGACCACCUGUGGCGGAGGCGCUCGGCUGGAACGCGUCCGACGGUGAGGGACGAAGGCCAGGGGAGCAAACCGGAUUAGAUACCCGGGUAGUCCUGGCUGUAAACGAUGCGGACUUUGUGUCGGACAAGCUAUGAGCUUGUCCGGUGCCGGAGGGAAACCGUUAAGUCCGCCGCCUGGGGAGUACGGCCGCAAGGCUGAAACUUAAAGGAAUUGGCGGG
rnacentral:rRNA from 1 species